rnacentral:rRNA from 1 species
AUUGAACGCUGGCGGCAUGCCUUACACAUGCAAGUCGAACGGCAGCGCGGGGCAACCUGGCGGCGAGUGGCGAACGGGUGAGUAAUAUAUCGGAACAUACCCUAGAGUGGGGGAUAACGUAGCGAAAGUUACGCUAAUACCGCAUACGCACUAAGGUGGAAAGUGGGGGAUUCGCAAGAACCUCAUGCUCAUGGAGUGGCCGAUAUCUGAUUAGCUAGUUGGUGAGGUAAAGGCUCACCAAGGCGACGAUCAGUAGCUGGUUUGAGAGAACGACCAGCCACACUGGAACUGAGACACGGUCCAGACUCCCACGGAGGCAGCAGUGGGGAAUUUUGGACAAUGGGGGCAACCCUGAUCCAGCAAUGCCGCGUGAGUGAAGAAGG